rnacentral:rRNA from 1 species
AUGGCGGCGGCCACCUCCUCGUCGGCGGUGGCGGUAUCUACGCCGCAGGGAGUGGCGGAGCGGCGGGGAAUCCCGGCGGCAUCCUUCGUCGAGGAUGUCGAAACCUACCUCCGGCAGGCCGGGCUCGAGGUCAACUCCGCCCUCGCCUUCCUCCAAGAAAGGCUGCAGCAGUACAAAAUGGUGGAGAUGAAACUUUUAGCACAACAAAGAGAACUUCAGGCGAAAAUUCCUGAUAUAGAGAAAUGCUUGGAUAUUGUUGCGACAUUGAAAGCUAAAAAAGCUUUGGGUGAGGCACUCAUAGCUGAUUUUGAAUUAUCUGAGGGAAUCUAUUCGCGUGCUAAAAUCGAGGACUCUGACUCAGUGUGCCUAUGGUUGGGUGCAAAUGUGAUGCUGGAAUACUCCUGUGACGAGGCCAAUGAGCUCUUGAAAAGUAACUUGGAAAAUGCGAGGGCCAGUUUAGAAGUCCUUGUUGGCGAUCUUCAUUUCUUACGGGACCAGCAAACGAUAACUCAGGUUACAAUUGCUCGGAUAUUUAACUGGGACGUGCACCAGCGGAGAAGCAAGCAGUCUGUUAUGAAAGAAACAUGA